AUUGAACGCUGGCGGCAGGCCUAACACAUGCAAGUCGAACGGUAGCACAGGAGAGCUUGCUCUCUGGGUGACGAGUGGCGGACGGGUGAGUAAUGCAUGGGGAGCUGCCCAAUCGAGGGGGAUACCAGCUGGAAACGGCUGCUAAUACCGCAUACGCCCUGAGGGGGAAAGGUGGGGACCUUCGGGCCUACCGCGAUUGGAUGCACCCAUGUGGGAUUAGCUAGUUGGUGAGGUAACGGCUCACCAAGGCGACGAUCUCUAGCUGGUCUGAGAGGAUGACCAGCCACACUGGAACUGAGACACGGUCCAGACUCCUACGGGAGGCAGCAGUGGGGAAUAUUGCACAAUGGGGGAAACCCUGAUGCAGCCAUGCCGCGUGUGUGAAGAAGGCCUCGGUUGUAAGUA
rnacentral:rRNA from 1 species